UACGUAGGGUGCGAGCGUUGUCCGGAAUUAUUGGGCGUAAAGAGCGUGUAGGCGGCUUGGUAGGUCUUGCGUCAAAACCUGAGGCUCAACCUCAGUUCGCGUGGGAAACCAUCUAGCUAGAGUCCGGAAGAGGAGAACGGAAUUCCCAGUGUAGCGGUGAAAUGCGCAGAUAUUGGGAAGAACACCAGUGGCGAAGGCGGUUCUCUGGGACGGUACUGACGCCGAGACGCGAAAGCGUGGGGAGCGAACAGG
rnacentral:rRNA from 1 species